GGAGUCGGCCGGAUGGCCGCUGCGCGCGAGCGUGGAGGAAAGUCCGGGCUCCAUAGGACAGGGUGCCAGGUAACGCCUGGGGGGCGUGAGCCCACGGAAAGUGCCACAGAAAACAUACCGCCCAAGCGCGCAAGCGCCGGCAAGGGUGAAAAGGUGCGGUAAGAGCGCACCGCGCGGCGGGUAACCGACCGCGGCACGGAAAACCCCACCCGGAGCAAGACCAAAUAGGGGAGCAGCGGACUGGUUCCGCGCGUGCGGUCCGCACGGCUCCCGGGUAGGUCGCUUGAGGUGCGCGGCGACGCGUAUCCCAGAGGAAUGGCCGUCCCCGACAGAACCCGGCUUACAGGCCGACUCCAUUU
rnacentral:RNase_P_RNA from 1 species